GGAGGGUGCGAGCGUUAAUCGGAAUAACUGGGCGUAAAGAGCACGUAGGUGGGAUAGCAAGUCAGAUGUGAAAGCCCUGGGCUUAACCGAGGAAAGCCAUCUGAAACUAAUAACCUAGAGUACAGGAGAGGGAAGUGGAAUUUCCGGUGUAGCGGUGAAAUGCGUAGAUAUCGGAAGGAACACCCGAGGCGAAGGCGACUUUCUGGCCUGAAACUGACACUGAGGUGCGAAAGCGUGGGGAGCAAACAGGGAUUAGAUACCCUGGUAGUCCACGCGGUAAACGAUGAGAACUAGCUGAUGGGUCUACGGACUCAGUAGCGAAGCAAACGCGAUAAGUUCUCCGCCUGGGGAGUACGGCCGCAAGGCUA
rnacentral:rRNA from 1 species